CCUACGGGUGGCAGCAGUGGGGAAUAUUGCACAAUGGGGGAAACCCUGAUGCAGCGACGCCGCGUGAAGGAAGAAGUAUUUCGGUAUGUAAACUUCUAUCAGCAGGGACAAAAAUCACGGUACCUGUCUCAUAAGCCCCGUCUAACUACGUUCCAGCAGCCGCGGUAAGACGUAGGGGGCCAGCGUUAUCCGGAUUUACUGGGUGUUAAGGGAGCGUAGACGGGUUAGCAAGUCAGUUGUGAAAGUCCGGGGCUCAACUCCGAGAUUGCCUUUGAAACUGUUGAACUUGAUUGCAGGUGAGGUAAGUGGAAUUCGUAGUGUAGCGGUGAAAUGCGUAGAUAUUAGGAGGAACCCCGGUGGCGAAGGCGGCUUACUGGACUGUAAAUGACGCUGAGGCUCGAAAGCGUGGGGAGCAAACAGGAUUAGAUACCCUUGUAGUC
rnacentral:rRNA from 1 species